rnacentral:rRNA from 1 species
ACGUUCGGAUUGCAGCCUGCAACUCGGCUGCAUGAAGCCGGAAUCGCUAGUAAUCGCGGAUCAGAAUGCCGCGGUGAAUACGUUCCCGGGUCUUGUACACACCGCCCGUCACACCAUGGGAGCCGGGAAUGCCCGAAGUCAGUGGCCUAACCGCAAGGGGGGAGCUGCCGAAGGCAGGCCCGGUGACUGGGGUGAAGUCGUAACAAGGUACC